rnacentral:rRNA from 1 species
GAACGCGAAGAACCUUACCAGGGCUUGACAUCCAGGGAAGGUCUGCGAAAGUAGACUGUGCCUUUUGGAACCCUGUGACAGGUGAUGCAUGGCCGUCGUCAGCUCGUGUCGUGAGAUGUUAGGUUAAGUCCUUCAACGAGCGCAACCCUUGUGAAUAGUUGUAUUUUUCUAUUCAGACUGCCCCGGUAACGGGGAGGAAGGAGGGGAUGAUGUCAGGUCAGUAUUUCCCUUACGUCCUGGGCUAGAAACGUAAUACAAUGGCUAGUACAAUGCGCAGCGAAGCCGCGAGGUGAAGCAAAUCGCAUCAAAGCUAGUCCCAGUUCGGAUUGUAGGCUGAAACUCGCCUGCAUGAAGUCGGAAUCGCUAGUAAUCGCAAAUCAGCAAGUUGCGGUGAAUACGUUCCCGGGUCUUGUACACACC